rnacentral:lncRNA from 1 species
AAAUCCAUUCCUUCACGGUUAGAUUCUGCUCACUUCUUCCCUUAAGCUUCCUUUCUUUUCUUCGAUCCUACAAAACAUCAAUUGUAAUCUUAUCACAUUAUGUAUUAAGAAUCUAGAAUAGAAGCUUAAAAGAGUUAGUUAAUGGAUUUUACCUAUAUUAGAGCCAUACGUUUCGACUCUCCCAUCUCUUAGAUCUCUUAGGUAAAUGGGGCAGCUUCGUCUCCAAUGCCCUUUCUCUUGGCAAUAAAAGCAAAUUGACUCUUUUGGAACAUGACAUGGAACUACUUCAGACAUUGCCUUUCUCUUAUGAUCAAACUUUUCGAUCAUAGCAUGUCUUUCGUUGCCAUUGUCUAUAUCCAUAGAGGUCUUGAAGGCAGAUUCACCAAUCAACUUUGCUUUUCUAUUGCGCCAAACCAUUGCUGAUUCAGCAGCAAUAAGCAUAUAGGUGAGAUCUAUAAGGGUCACGUCGCGGUUCAUCAUAUAGUACUCUCUUACGAACUCACUAUAUGAGUUAGGAAGUGACUGAAGAACCCAAUCAACAGCCAUUUCCUCACAGACAACGGAUCCCAACAUUCUUAACCUAUCAAUGUGUGACUUCAUCCCUAGGACGUGUGCACACACCGACUUUCCUUCUUUAUGUUUACUUGCCAAAAGGGCUUGAGUGAUCUUGAACUUUUCAAGCCUUUGAACUUGUGGGUUAGGGAGAAUAAUUGGAGGAGGAGGAGGAAGUGAAGCAUGAUUUCUUGUUCCUCGAUCGAAUCGUGGAAUAUCAUCUUCAUGUGGAAUGCUUGUUCCACGGGAUUUGGGAAGACCAUAGUUGUCGAACUUUGACAUCUACAAAACGGGAGAAAACGAAUUCAAGUUAGUUGAUUGAUUGAGUCCUUAGUAAAUCACCCAAAUGAGAUACUAAGGCUAGGACCCAACACAAUAUUCUACAACUCGGGAGAGGGAUGCCGUAACCCUAAUUGCAGAAUAUUUGAAGGUAAGUGAAUGACGAUUCACUAAUUUCCACCAUGAAAAACGAAAAAGAAAUUUAAGUUUUAAAUCUAUGAAAACUCCUAGAUCCUUUGAGAUUCAUUGAACUUUCAAUGGCAUGUUUAAAUCUCGAUAUGCCCCUCUUGUUUGUGACUGGGAUGCCGAGGAUCACAAAGCGGGUGUGAAUAACCAUGCAAACUUACAUGGUGCCCUCACAUGUUACAGUCACCUAUUCGAUGUGCCGGUAAACCACACACGCUCCACCGAACUAUGACAAACAUUGAGUCACCCUUUGCUACCUUUGCUUAGAACCAUUUAGUGUGCCGGUUAACCACACACGCUCCACUAACGUCUUCGCAAGGGCACAAAGUGUAAUUUCAUGGAAUUGCAUCAAUUCACUUUUGCCUAAGUAACUAAGAUUGGGAAUUUUAUGAAAACAUUUAGUUACUUUAAUAAUUCAUUAUACUUAUAAUGGAAGGUUUCGUCCUAUCCUACCCGUUCGGCUAACGACCCUCCACUAGUCAAGAGUGCGGUGGGUAAGAGUGGAUACCCAUUCAAUCGCCAUUUUAUAGGCAAUUUCCUUAAACACCCCUUAUAGACCAGCUUCGUGAAUGAGGCCUACUAACGGUAAGACUGACUUUUACUCAUACAUAUAUAUAAUGUUAGACUUUUAAUGUUAUAUAUAGUAUAGGGUGUAUUUUAUACUUUUAAAAUACUAGGUGGUCUAAUUUAACAAUUAUACUUUUAAUUCAAUUAAAUUGUAAACCUAAACUUUUAUGGAUUUAUUAAACCUCUUUUAAUUAUACACCUUAAUUAAUUAAUAAAACCAUAAGGGUGUGAUUUGAACUUUUUCAAAACUAUACUAGAGUUUUAGAAUUUAACAUUCCUAAUUAAACUUUUAAUCAACUUUUAAAUUCCAAAACUUGAGGGCAAGUUUUGAAACAUUUCAACACAUUAGGGUUUAGAAUUUAAAUAUGCAUCAAAAUUAAACUAUUUAAUCAAAAUUUAAAUUCCAAAACUUGAGGGCAAGUUUUGAAACCUUUUUCAAAACAUUAGGGUUUCAACUAUUUAAAUUUCAAAACAACAAAACUUUUGGGGUUCAAAUUUAAACUAUAAAACCUAAAGGGCCAAAUAUGAAACUUUUCACAACAACAAGGAUCAAAUAACAAAUAAUUCAAAUUAACAUUUAAUCACAUAAUUAUCCAUAUUUGAUGAUUUCUUGCAAAAUAAUUUAUCAAUUUACUUAAAAUAAUUAAUCAAUUAUCUUAUAAGGAAACAAUUAUCUUAUUAAUUGAUAAAUAUCUUCAAUUAGAUUAAAAAUAUAGUCAAAUAUAUCAUAUAAUCGGAUUAAUAUUAAUCUAACAUGAUAAGGUAAUUAUCCCAAUGCAAAAACAGCAAGAAAUCCCGAGAUAAGCACUGUCUGACGCACCGACUCGCCGAGUCACCCUCUGGAACUCGCCGAGUAGGGCUGACUCGCCGAGUCCAAGAGUGACUCGCCGAGUCAGGUCGAACAGUGAGGCCAAAACACGAUUUUCAGUUACAUCAAGCAUCAAUACAAUAGAAACCAAUCAUGGCUCUGAUACCACUGAUGGGUUUUGGUCAUAAGACAUCCUAUGUGCUCAUACAAACCCUAAAGCUUGGAUCUAGGUUUCUCUAUUGUACAUACUUUGAAUCCAAGACUUUGAACCCUAAUUCUAGCAUAUGGAAAUCAGAAUUCACAUGUAAUUAGGUUUAAGAACAUACCUUGAUUGUUAUAUAGCAAUAACAAUCCAAUUCCUCCUUGAAUUGACCUUGGAAAGCUGAGAGUCACAAGUGUCACUCCUCUAAUGGCUUACAAACACCAUAAGCAAGUGGAGAAGGUAUAAAGAGAGAGGAGGGAGGUUAGAAUUCGUCCUUAGGACCUCUUGGGAAGGGUUAGACGAAUUCCUAAGCCUUAGGGGGUUUAUAUAGGUGUAAAGAUUAGGGUUUUAGUCCUUAUCCUUAUCUAGUUGCUUGUCCACCAAGCAACCAUAAGAUAAGUCCUAGAAACCCUUAUCCUAGUCGAAUUCUAAGGGAUUUACACCUCAAAUUCGUUCACCAUAUAUAUAAGAUAAUCCUUACCUUAUUUUGUAACUAUCACAUAAUUACAAUUCAGCCCCUCUAGUUUAAUUAAUUACACUUGAUCACAAAAUUAAUUCUUAAUUAAUUAUUGACCAAUAUUAAUUAAACAAAUAUGAUUUCUCCUUUAAUAUAUUAUUCUUAUAACAUAUUAAUAAAUCAUAAUAACCUCUCUCUCUAUUUAUUUCUCCAAUCAAGUUGCUUUGGUGAAGGCAACCCAAAAGGACCAUGCACCAUCGGGUCAAGUACAUACCAAAAUAGUUAUGGACUUAGACACUAAUCCAACAGUCUCCCACUUGGAUAAGUCUAACAACUAUUCUGCGUAUGACUUCGGAUCCCGAUCUGCAAUCGUAGCUUUCCAAAGCCGCUGUCAACUCUGAUCAUAUCAGAUACGCGUGUCCUUAGAUAAGGGAUCAUAUAUUCCUCCAUUCUAGAUAUCAUAUGAGAUAUGAUUUCAAAUCAUUCUCUUUGUACUAUAUCUCGAUUUCCGAUUUAUGACGACUGACUAAUUGAACAAAUCAAAUUAGCCCUAGCCCGGCCGAGCAUUUACGUUUGUCAUCACUAAACCAUCGAGGGGCCCAAAGAUAUCGCUUUUAUCCUACUUUGGAUAAAAGGAACGGAUAAACUUUGAUACAAUGCUUGCUUGCACUCACUCACCGAAUCACACACAACAAUAUGUUUUAUAACACCAAGUUACUAGUGCGUUUACAUAUUAUCAAUGUGCAACCGAUUUGCAAGAUACAACUCACACAUCUCGGUUUCAAGAAUAUAAGAUGUUAUCGUCUCACCAAUCACUCGUGAUACAAUUCAUGGAGUGAUCCAAGUGAGCGUGGGUUUAAUCCAAUGCUCAAAUCAUAUUCAUAAGCACUCAUGAACGUUGCAGCAAACAUUUGCUUAUGUCUAAUACUCUUUUAGACAAUCCACACACCAAUUCACGACAGUCUUCAUUCAUAUCUACUUCCAACAUAUGAACGACUGUGGCCCGUUUGAAUAAUUCGAUUAUUCUUAAUAAACUCAAUUAUUCUGGAAGUCAAAACAUGCAAAUGUGAAACACAAGAAUAAUACUAAUCCCAUAUGGCCUCAAACCUUUGAGUAUAAAUAAAACACCUUUUAUUUAUCACCAUAUUGAUUACUCAUUAUUUGUCGUUUCGGGUAAUCAACUUCUUACUUGAAUUACAACACUUGUCCCAUGCUCCUAGCAUGCACACAAUGUUUACCUAUGGUUCUUACUUUGUGAAAUAGAUCACAUUGAACACAUUUCCAAUCCUUCUCAUUUCACAACUCCAAAUCCCUUUUUCAUAAGUGAAAGAAUAUCAAAUUCUUGCUACUUAUAGAAUAUGCUAGAUUCUAACAUUCUAUGCAACUAUCCUUUCGUAAUGUCACUGCACCAAAGUCACAAAGACUAUUGCCAAUGAUAUUACAAAGUCCUCUAUCGGAGAUUGUUACAAGACAAUUCCUUAGAUAUGAUGUCUCUCACUCAAAGUACAUUCCUUUGAACAUCCUUUUGCAUAAAAGUUUCUAAUCUAGACAUAGAUUUUCAAUAUUCAAUUCCCAAUAUGGACACGCUUCCAUAUUUUCCAUAUGACAACUCAUUCUUAAUAGAAUCUUAUCUAUUCAUAAUAAUGUCGAUAUGGUCCAUCCAAUAUGGAAACAUUUCCAUAUUUUCCAAUACUAUACUUCCAACUACUCACAAGCGACCAAUCCUCGUCGAACUUUGGAUUGUCCUUUGAUAGUUGUUUAAUUAUUUUAGUCAAAACCAAUUCUAGUCCCUUUUCCCUCUAAAUGCGCUCGACAUUUGGAAAAUUUUAGAAUGGUCAAACAUUAAAGCAUUUGCAAUCGAUCCUAUACCCGAAGCGUAUGGGACACGACGCAUAAUGUUUUAUUUGCUAUGUUCUCAAAAUUCGAAUUGUGAAGAGGAAUGUCGUAAUCAUAAUCGAAAUUUUAAGAACACACUAUGUACCCUUGACUAAAUUUAUUAACAUUUCUCAACCUAAUCCUUUAGAUUUGAAAUGAAGCAUAAUAUUCUCUCCCUUAAUUAUAGCAAAACAACUUUACAACCCUUACGACUUUGCAAGGUAUAACUCUUGUUUUCUAUAAUUAAUAUUGCCAACUUGCAAUACGUGCCUUAAUAAUCAUACAAUCAUAACAUUUAUGCUCCCACUAUCAUGAUGAUUAUUAUAAAACAUAACACUUAUGCUCCCACUAGCUUCGACAUGUAUUCAUAAACAUCUUAACUUUCAGAAAAACAAUGCUUAUUGAAUUUCUUAAGUUCAUGUUUCUAAUACUUAGUGCUUUGAUAAUCUUUUAUCAAGGCUUCUUGAACUUAUACACCUUUGCCUUCGAUAGUUCAUAUGUGUGUCUAAACAAUUAAGACUAAUUGCCAAACCUCACAAUUCAAAUUAUGGAAAGGGAUACCGUAACCAUAAUCGAAUUCGAGAAUGCAAUUUUACAAUCACUAUCUUCUUAAAAUCUUUCUUAGUGAAAGCAUUUCCUCACAAUCAUUUUCAUGAAGGAGGAAAUCUUAUGACACUUAGAUUUAAACGGUGUAUGUGUUCCUAUCCAUGUGAAUUUGUUAAAACCAAAGUUUACGACAAAUUCAAACUCAUAUGGACCGAACUUUCUUAAUCUUGAUUUCUUGCCUUAUGGUAGCACAGCUGCCCACCAUGUCUUCCAAGUAGUUAAGCAGCUCACCUUUUCUUAUCAAUGUACUUUCCAUUGAUCAAGGUCCUUGCCUUUUAUGCAUUCAAAUGAGAACUCAUAGGACUCACAUGCAUAAUUAACUCGAUUGGAUUGGCACAGAAACAAAAUAAUGUCAACACGAUAGGUUGUAAACCUCAACUCGUGUGCUAGUGAUGAUCGAUAAGGUUUAUUUGAUUUGUUCUUGAAACCUUUCAAGACCAUUAAGACUCCCACUGACUCCUUGACAUAUAAGAUUCUCUUGUCAAUAAACAUUUCUUGACAAACAAAUAUUCAAGAGUUAGUGUAGCUUUUAUCAAAACACUUCAUAAAUUGGUCCUAGUUGGUCUUUGUCUUAUCCAAGACAUCACAACUUUCCACAUUUGAUGAAUGUUAUAAACCUUCUUAAUACUUAUCACUCAAUGUCACAAUCUUAACUCUAAGACUUGUUUUGGAACGAAGUAUGAUUGACUUCUUGAUUUAACCAUUUCUUCAAUUCUUGAUUCCUCUUCUUAGACAUACAAUUGUACUAAGACUCACUUAGAGGAUCAAUUGAGAUAUGGUUCUUAAUCAUUAAGACCUAUCAUAAAGAAUAAAAGGUACUCUCCCUUCUUCUUAGAAUGGAGAAACUUUUAUCUUUCUGCCUACUUGAUUCUUCUUAUUCGUUCUGCUAUUGAUUUAAACUUUUUCAAUCAAUUCAGAAUUACACUUAAUCUUAUAAGUAUAAUCAUAUUUACUAAACCUUUAGUAAAUCAUGACGAAUAUCUUUGUUACUCUUGUGGUGGACUUGAUCAACACACAACUUUGUGUACUCGAUCUCCUAGUCCUUCACUUGACACUUUGUCAACGAAUUAGUCUAAUUUCCAAAUAUGAAAUUUCUCAUUCAUCGUGCAACCAAGUUGCAUGAUUCCAAGUUUCUGUCCAAUUGAAACUUGGGCGAUGAGAAACUCUCCCUAUUUGGUAAAUUCUCGACUUUCCAUAAAUAACAUAAUAAGAACCAAAUCCAUUAUUGCUAAUAUUCAAACAUCAAUUUUUCAUAUACGCCAUUGCAAGGAUAAAUAAAUAAUAUAAAAUCAAAAUUUAUUUUAUUGCGGAAAAAUUUGUCCUUACAAUGCAAUUCAUUGAAAAACUAUGCUAAUACAUAUUUCUUAGCAAUCUUAUUCUAACUCUAAGUAGUAGCUCAAGAAUCUAAUCUUCAAGUAAUGCGAUCGAAAUCCAUUUCUUCACGAUUAGAUUCCGCUCACUUCUUCCCUUAAGCUUCCUCUCUUUUCUUCGAUCCUACAAGACAUCGAAAUGUAAUCUUAUCACAUCAUGUAUUAAGAAUCUAGAAUAGGAACUUAAAAGAGUUAGUUAAUGGAUUUUACCUAAAGCAGAGCCAUACGUUUUGACUCUCCCAUCUCUUAGAUCUCUUAGGUAAAUAGGGCAGCUUCGUCUCCAAUGCCCCUUCUCUUGGCAAUAAAAGCAAAUUGACUCUUUUGGAACAGGACAUGGAACUACUUCAGACAUUGCCUUUCUCUUAUGAUCAAACUUUUCGAUCAUAGCAUGUCUUUCGUUGUCAUUGUCUAUAUCCAUAGAGGUCUUGAAGGCAGAUUCACCAAUCAACUUUGCUUUUCUAUUGCGCCAAACCAUUGCUGAUUCAGCAGCAAUAAGCAUAUAUGUGAGAUCUAUAAGGGUCACGUCGUGGUUCAUCAUAUAGUACUCUCUUACGAACUCACUAUACGAGUUAGGAAGUGACUGAAGAACCCAGUCAACAACCAGCUCCUCACAGACAACAGAUCCCAACAUUCUUAAUCUAUCAAUGUGUGACUUCAUCUCUAGGAUGUGUUCACACACUGACUUUCCUUCUUCAUGUUUACUUGCCAAAAGGGCUUGAGUGAGCUUGAACUUUUCAAGCCUUCGAACUUGUGGGUUACGGAGAAUAAUUGGAGGAGGUGGAGGAAGUGAAGCAUGAUUUCUUGUUCCUCGAUCGAAUCGUGGAAUAUCAUCUUCAUGUGGAAAGCUUGUUCCACGGGAUUUGGGAAUACCAUAGUUGUCAUACUUUGACAUCUACAAAAUGGGAGAAAACAAAUUCAAGUUAGUUGAUUGAUUGAGUCCUUAAUAAAUCACCCAAAUGAGAUAUUAAGGCUAGGACCCAACACAAUACGCUACAACCUAGAAAAGGGAUGCCGUAAUCUAGUUGCAGAAUAUUUGAAGGUAAGUGAAUGACGAUUCACUAAUUUUCCACCAUGAAAAACGAAAAACCGAUUAAGUUUUAAAUGCUUUGAAAACUCCUAGAUCCUUUGAGAUUCAUUGAACUUUUCAAUGGCAUGUUUAAAUCUCGAUAUGCCCCUCUAGUUUGUGACUGGGAUGCCGAGGAUCACAAAGCGGGUGUGAAUAACCAUGCAAACUUACAUGGUGCCCCCACAUGUUACAGUCACCUAUUCGAUGUGCCGGUUAACCACACACGCUCCACCGAACUAUGAGAAACAUUGAGUCACCCUUUGCUAC